rnacentral:rRNA from 1 species
UGNUCUGUCACUGACGCUGAGGCUNGAAAGCGUGGGUAGCGAACAGGGUUAGAUACCCUGGUAGUNCACGCCGUAAACGAUGAGUGCUAGGUGUUAGGUCCUUUCCGGGACUUAGUGCCGCAGCUAACGCAAUAAGCACUCCGCCUGGGGAGUACGACCGCAAGGUUGAAACUCAAAGGAAUUGACGGGGGCCCGCACAAGCGGUGGAGCAUGUGGUUUAAUUCGAAGCAACGCGAAGANCCUUACCAGGUCUUGACAUCCCGAUGCCCGCUCUAGAGAUAGAGUUUUUCUUCGGAACAUCGGAGACAGGUGGUGCAUGGUUGUCGUCAGCUCGUGUCGUGAGAUGUUGGGUUAAGUCCCGCAACGAGCGCAACCCUUAUUGUUAGUUGCCAUCAUUGAGUUGGGCACUCUAGCGAGACUGCCGGUAAUAAACCGGAGGAAGGUGGGGAUGACGUCAAAUCAUCAUGCCCCUUAUGACCUGGGCUACACACGUGCUAUAAUGGUUGGUACAACGAGUCGCAAGCCGGUGACGGCAAGCUAAUCUCUGAAAGCCAAUCUCAGUUCGGAUUGUAGGCUGCAACUCGCCUACAUGAAGUCGGAAUCGCUAGUAAUCGCGGAUCAGCACGCCGCGGUGAAUACGUUCCCGGGCCUUGUACACACCGCCCGUCACACCACG